CUGCCGGUUAAUCGAAAUUUUUCCGGAGUGGCUCACUGAUCCACCUGAGAUAUUUUAUUUUUAUGAUCUCGUGAGAAGGAUGAUCGUCUUAAUAUUUACAGAACCGACAGAAUCCGAAUUGAAAGAGCUCCAGACGCUGGUCAAAUCAUUCAAACAGGAAAUCAGAAAAUACGAUUUAAUCACACCCAAAACGCAUUUCCUCUCCCAUUAUCCCUCCCUUAUAGAAUUUUAUGGGUGUUUAACUAUUUUCUCUACAAUGGCCUGGGAGAGAAAACAUCGCAUGUUAAAAGUGUUAAUGCAACACAGCAAAAAUUUCAAAAAUGUUGCUAAAACUUUGAUGAUUUUACACAAAGCCAAACUGGCAUGCGAAUCGAUAUCCAAACCUAAUGAAUGGCCAUUGGAUAAAAAUAUUGUCCGACAAAUAAAUGAUGAAAAAUCAAAUUUCAUCCUGGCCAAGUGUUUUAUUAAAAUUGGCAAUAAAAUAAUGUCAAUAGGUGGCGCCAUAGGUCAUGGAAUUUGAAAUUUAAAAAAA